rnacentral:rRNA from 1 species
UACGUAGGGUGCAAGCGUUAAUCGGAAUUACUGGGCGUAAAGCGUGCGCAGGCGGUUGUGUAAGUCUGUCGUGAAAUCCCCGGGCUCAACCUGGGAAUUGCGAUGGAGACUGCACGGCUAGAGUGUGUCAGAGGGGGGUAGAAUUCCACGUGUAGCAGUGAAAUGCGUAGAUAUGUGGAGGAACACCGAUGGCGAAGGCAGCCCCCCUGGGAUAACACUGACGCUCAUGCACGAAAGCGUGGGGAGCAAACAGG